UACGGGAGGCAGCAGUGGGGAAUCUUGCACAAUGGGCGAAAGCCUGAUGCAGCGACGCCGCGUGCGGGACGAAGGCCCUCGGGUUGUAAACCGCUUUCAGCAGGGACGAGGCGAGAGUGACGGUACCUGCAGAAGAAGCCCCGGCUAACUACGUGCCAGCAGCCGCGGUAAU
rnacentral:rRNA from 1 species